rnacentral:lncRNA from 1 species
UACUUGGAUGAAGAAUUGAAACCCUAGCUUUGAUUCUGUAGAAGAGGUAUGAUCUCCAGGGGCCAGGGGGUCUGGUUUUAUAGUCCCUUCAAGUGAAUCUGGGCCAUCGGAUCAAACCGACAUUGAUCGUGUGGUUUUCCUUGAAGUAUUAGGUCGGUGGAGCAUGAUCCCCGAACUUCACCCUGAUUGGUGGAAAGAGGUGGGCGGGUGCCCUCAGGACUAGGGCGGGCGCCCAGUGCCUGAGCCCUCUCGGCCUCCGCUUCGGUCCCGUGGCUUCUGGAGUCUUCUAGAUGAUAGAAAAUUGCGCGGCACGUUAAUAUCUCUAUGUAAACCCGACGUGUGGGCCUUUCUUCCGUAUUUCCUGAUAACCCCCUGCAGAAAUAGACAAACACCAAAACUUGUGGAAUUCUGUCAGAUAAAACCCUAAGUCUAGGUGUUGGUUGUAUUUGGAUCCUUUUCUAUGAUUAGUUGAUUGUUAAAUGUGAGCAUUAAGGACCGUCAACAAGCUCCCCCAAGCUUAACCUUUGCUCCUUCCUGAGCAAAGAUGGACUCAAGAGUUUCUGCAGUGGUUUCAUAACUUAAAGAUACACAUGCGUUUAAACAAGAUCUUAUCUCUGGUUAGGGUAAACUGUUAAGACUUAAAACUUACUCAUUUACCUUUCACAAUGGGACUUGUAACCGUCACUUCUGUCUUGAGUAGUUAAAAGAUAGAACAGUCUAGUCAAGCACCAUGUCUCUUGUUCUUCGAUUAACUAUAGCUCUGGAGUUUUUGCAGAUUCUCAAAUAAAACUCAGAGAUUCCUUGUAUGACUCUCUCUAGUCUCUCUUUUGUGGUAUUUCUGGAUCCUUACCAAGGCAAUAUUGGUAUAUGCCUUCUCUCAAAGUAUGUGGUAUUUGUGGUAUGAAGCAAAGUGGCAUUGCCUUCUCUCUCACCCUACUCUAAUUAGGUUUUGAUAUCUGGAGCUCAUAGGUGGGAGACAGCUAAUACAUACUUACAAGACAUUUAUUGCAUAGUCAAACCAUGGAUCCAGAAGAACAAGUCAAUAAGUCAAAUCAAGAUGUGCAUGUGUGGCGAAUGAAUGGUGUAUGGUGAUGAUGAUGAUAACAAUGGUGAAAGUCUAAUUCUACUUGUGCUCUUUUGAGGGAUACAUACCUUUCUUGCUCUUUUGAAACUUUUUGAGGAGAAUGAGAUGCUCUAUAUUUUCUUUUUCUUUCCUCUUAGGUGGGUAUCUUGUACCCCUAAUUCUACUGUCGGACACUUGUCCAUUUUUACCUCUCGUCUCACUUUUUUUCUUUUCUUUCGAGGUUCCGGGCACUUGCACCUUUUUAUUUCCUCGUUUCUUUUUUUUCUCUCUUUUUUUUCUUUUUUUUCUUUUUUUUUUCUAGAGCACUCAUCUCCUGAAAUAAUAUAGCAAGUGGUAGUAACCAAGAUAACUUGAGCAUUUAUUUCAUAGGGGAAAACAAAAAUGUUUUUGGCUAUUCUCUCCUGGAUUUGGAGUAGAAUAUUUUUGGGUGGUUCUGGAGAUGGAAAUGGAUAUAUAUAGAUGGUACUUCCGGAGUAGAAGUAGCAUGUGUGAGUGAACGUGCAAGUGAAUAUUGAUUCAACCACAUGACAAGCUCCUUAGGGUCUACACAGCUUGACCACACUCAGUGCUCAUAAGCAGUAAAAAGUAAAUGUGUGGUUCAUAGUCUAAUAAGCAUGUAUAUAUGGCUGUGGUAGGAAUUUAAACUCUCAUCAUAUAGGAACUCAUCAUGCGAUAUUUUAAAGAUUUUCAAAGAUAAAAUUCUCCAGAAUUCUAGCAUCUCUAGGAACAGAUAAACAACAGCUCAACCUUCUCAUAUCGUAUCCGUUAACUACUUAGACUUUAGAUCAAGUACUCUCCCCACAAGUUCAGGUUUAGAGCAAAUCUUAAUUAAUAACAGUCAUGCCUAAACUUGAGAGAGAUUUCAAUUUUUAGAACUAGUCAUGGCAGAGCAACUAUACAUCAUUUCCAUGUGAGAGCUUAUCAUGAGGAUUCAUAGCAAACUUUAUUUAUUUAUUUAUUUAGCAAACUAAGCAAAUAUAUAUAUAAGCACAAAAUCUUUAUUUGGGUUUAUAUGAUUAUGCAUCUUUUUACUAUUAGAGUAAAGUAUAAACGUGAGUAGAAUACUUAGCUGGAUAAAUGGGGGUGCUCUCCCCCAAGCUAGAUUUUUGACGUAAUUUCUUCUGAUGUAGCUAGCAAGUGGUGGAGGUGUAUUUGAAUGUCGGCAGCACCCUGACAGCGAUUAGGAUGUCCUCCGUCUGCUAGUCUUCUUUGAUCCUUGAAUUCUGUGGAGCUCAAAUAGACAACAAAGCUUUGUGGAACUAGUUAAGUGUUAGCAUAAAUAUCUAGCCUUUAUCAUGUUGAGCCUCCUCAUUAAAUGUUACACUCUUUAGUAGGAUCAUGAAUUUAUUUUUAUAUUCUUAUUUUUAUAGCGCAUAAAUAUAUUUAUUUUAUUUUUAUGCCACCACAGUGAAUGUACUUAUGGGUUUUAUGCCAUGAGCAUACUCACAUGGGGCUUACUAUUUUUUAACAUUUAUUUUCUUUUCAAGAUGAUAUGAACCUGAUUAACUAAGCAAACUAUUUUAAAUAAUUGAAAGGAAAUGGAUAACUACCAAGUUUACCUCUUGGCAAGGCGUUCGGUGUUUUUAAGUCCUCCGAACAGGACUCUUCGUUUUCUCAGUCGUCCUAGGAUUCGCUGGAUGGCGUAGUCGGUGGUUCCAGUGGUGCUUCUUCUUCAUGUAUAACUAUCUUCUCUCUACACACCUGCCUCGGUGCUACGGUCUCCUCAGGACAGUUCUGUUCAAGUUGUAUGUCUUCAGACCUCACUACUUCUCCUUCGUAGUAUGCCCAUCCAUCCUUGAUGAUUUGCCUCCUCUGGUUGCGGUUGCGUCGUCUUCUUCUUGUCCUGACCUGCUUAGAGUCUUCAACUAUAUAGUUAAGGUCAGUAAAAUAGCGGCGUACCUUCUCAGAGGGGAAGUGCAUGUGGACUUCUCUGGUUCCAAUGUAGAUGAUUGCUUUAACGGUGCUGAGGAACGGUCUUCCAAUGGUGAUGGGUGGAUUGUACUCGUCUUCUCCCAUGUCAAUAACCUUAAAAUCAUCUAGAGCUGAAUGUAUGUUGGUUGUAGGGACAUGGUUCCAUGCAGGAGCUGAUAGAUGGCUGCGGCCAUUAUGUUAAUGCCUGAUCCGGUGUCGCAAAGCGUCUUGUGCAAGUUGUAUCCAUUAAUGGAGCACUGAAUGCUUGGCAUACUUAGGUCAUCCUUUUUGGUCAGGAACGGUGACUUAAGUUGACGAUCUUGACCUCCUUGAACUGCAGUGACCAUCUUAGCUGACUUGGUCCACAUUUGCUUGUUCCUGUUCCUCUUGUUGGUCCUUCCUUGGUUCAUGUCAGGAUUGCUCUAAGAUUUGUGUAGUCUUUUUCUUGAAGGAAAACGUCUCUUUCUUCCCCUCGAUGUAGAAACUGAUCUUGGCAGCACUAGCGUAGAUGACAACUCCCGAGGUGUUCAGGAAUGGUCUCCCUAGGGCAUAAUGUUGACGCUGGAGCCAAAGUCGCAGAGUGCUUCUGGGAAGUCCACCAUGCCGAUGGAGAUCGGGAUGAUGGGGUGUCCUGGAUCGCCUCUCUUGACUAGUAGAAGGUCAGUAAUUACUUCCACAACGGGGUUACUCCAGUAGUUAUGUCCUCAAGCAUCUCAGGGCAGUGAUUGCCUGAGUGUCCAGUACCUCCAGUGUGUUUGUGCUUGUAGAUCUAGGUUCAUCACUUGGUGGAGUCUGGGAGUUGUAAAAGUCCUCCAUAUUUUGCUUGAAGUGUACCUGCUCAUAGAGACAAGGCAGAGAUCAAGUGCAUGGGCCCUGUUGGUGGAAAACACCAACAGAACCAAAAGGGUAUUCGUUCUCUCUAACCUUAAGCAUAGUGAGCAAGACAAAGUUGAUGGAUAAUAAGAUCAUGAAUGUAGCAUUUAAAACAUUUGUCAGAUCAGAUCGCUCAACCUAAUGGAAAGAUAAUCUAUCUAUACUUAUGUUUUUUAUAUAUAUCUUCCAAAGAUUGAGUGUAUAACAUUAUAGCUUAUAUGAUUAGGAGUGUGGAAUCACAAAGGUGGAAGGACUAAACAUGUUGAAUCGAUUGGGUUGGUUAAUCUAGAGUUGUAAAUCAUACAUGUUUGUCUCUUUUAUUCAAGUGAAUGCCAGAAUCAAGGAGAAGCUUAUAGAAGUGAUAGUCAAGUACCUUAAGAUGUUACCUUACUUGAAGAGUGAUGGUACAGUAUCACCUUGUGGAAGCUUUCCUCUCUUAGCGGUUGUGCAUUGUGUUUGUGGCACCUCCAUGGAUCAUCUCUUGUGAGCUAUGCCUUCCUUGUGUAAAUUGUUAACCUUCAUGCGUCUCUCUCUUUGUCUCCAAUGUGAGUUUGUCUCAGGACCUCCCAGGUUGACAUUGAAAGUUUUCCUGCAGGGGUUAAUCCAACAAAAUAUCCAAUAUCUACUAUAGCAUACUAUUGGCUCAAAGAUCAACCUAGACACCAUGUCUAAUUUGAUUUAGGAGGGCAUUUUAACCUAAGCACCAUGCUUAAUUUAAAACCCCUUGGUAGUAAGAUCAUCAUUCCUAAACUAAGCACCAAGCUUAAUUAAGAGAUAAAUGAAACUACUCCAAACCUAAACAUAUACUAAUGCAAAUAAAGGUAGCAUGAGAGCAUUUAUAGAGAUCUACUCAAGUGGAGAUGAAGUAGUGUGAUUACUAUUUAACAAAUUGAGCAUGUCUCAAAGGUAGGGACAACCAACAUAGCAACAUGGCAAAUGAUGUUUUUAUAUAAAGUACUCCCCCAAGCUUGAAUUUUGCAAAAUUCAAGUUUGGAUGAAUUUAAUUCAAUGUUGUAUGAUGAUUGGUUGGACAUACCUUGUGCUUGUCAUUCAUCCGAUCUUCUUGCUCCAAACCUGGAAAGGUUAGUGACAAGAAUACCCGAAGGAAUAUUUUUACAAUUAUCCUUAUAUGCUCAACACACAAGGUAAUGUUGCAAAUAAUUAAAAGCUCAUGUUACAGUCUGAUCAGUGCUUGUUUUAGGACACUAAGCUUGUCCUUAGGAAACCAUCGAUUUAUGUCAGUGAACUGGCUUCCCCUCCAAUGCUGACCUAUAUCAAGAUCAACUCAACGAGAUCUGCAAAAUUUAUUAUAGACAUAUGCAUCGACAACCGCCCUUUUAAAGUUUUUAUGAAUAGAAAGGAAGAGGGGGUUGGAGAUCUCGAAUGUGGUGAUGUUGGAGAGACCAAUGGAUUGUGAAGAUGUUGCAUAUGAGCAUGGAGUAAAUGAAGUGGCUAUGAAAUAAAUUCCAUGCUCAUUAAUGCUUAGAGUGAAAUCCAUGUGGUAUGGUGAAAGUGAUAAGGUGAGUGUGGUAAAAAAGGAAAAGAAAAAGGAUACACGGACGACUUGGUUCGAAACUAGCACAGCUACCGUUCCCCGGCAACGGCGCCAGAAAGCUUGUUGGGUAUUUUAAACGCAAACAGAAAAAUCCGCAAGCGCACGGAUACCUAUGUAGCUUUCACCCGGGAGUAUUCCAGAGUAUCGAUUUUCCACAGAGAACGUGAGUGUACGAAUUAAGAUCCAAGAUCGCCCAAGGAUAACUAUAUAAUUAUUUUUGGUGGGAAGAGAGGUAGUUUCCUGAGAGUUCUCUAGUUGAUCUAAGAAUCAAGAAUUACUUCAAGAUUAUCUAUAUCAGGACAUCAGAGCACUAACCACAGAAAGAGAUGAGAAGGGGGCUAGGAAGGUCUGACUACGGUCCUACAAACACCGAUCCGAACGUGGUGGAAUACGUCGACCGUUAGGGCUGUCACUACCCUAAGGCUACCACAACAAUCCGCAGGAUUGGGUGCAAUUCCAGGUAAUCGCAAGACUAAACACCACGUCUAAUCUAUUAAUUACUACUCUAGCGUUAUAAAGACUAGAGCACUUGAUGCAAGCGGGAAUCCAAUAAAUAACUUGAAUGUAAAUAAAAGUAAUUAAAGAACUCAGGAAUUAUGAAUUGAAGAACUUGGAGAACGAUGAAGAACGAACCAGAUGCUGCAAAAGUAUAAUGUUGAGGAAGAUCCGACAGAUCCGGCUCCUCCUCCGCUCUCCUCUUCUCUCUCCCUAUUUUCUAGAUUACAACUAGAACUAACUAGAACUAGAACUAGAGGAACUAGAACUAGAACUAGAUGAACUAGAACUAGAUCUAGAUGAACUAGAGGUAGAACUAGAAGAACUAGAGGGAUCCUCUCUACUUGGAUGAAGAAUUGAAACCCUAGCUUUGAUUCUGUAGAAGAGGUAUGAUCUCCAGGGGCCAGGGGGGUCUGGUUUUAUAGUCCCUUCAAGUGAAUCUGGGCCGUCGGAUCAAACCGACAUUGAUCGUGUGGUUUUCCUUGAAGUAUUAGGUCGGUGGAGCAUGAUCCCCGAACUUCACCCUGAUUGGUGGAAAGAGGUGGGCGGGCGCCCUCAGGACUAGGGCGGGCGCCAAGUGCCUGAGCCCUCUCGGCCUCCGCUUCGGUCCCGUGGCUUCUGGAGUCUUCUAGAUGAUAGAAAAUUGCGCGGCACGUUAAUAUCUCUAUGUAAACCCGACGUGUGGGCCUUUCUUCCGUAUUUCCUGAUAACCCCCUGCAGAAAUAGACAAACACCAAAACUUGUGGAAUUCUGUCAGAUAAAACCCUAAGUCUAGGUGUUGGUUGCAUUUGGAUCCUUUUCUAUGAUUAGUUGAUUGUUAAAUGUGAGCAUUAAGGACCGUCAAUACCUACCACAGCCAUACUUGCUAUAACAUCUUUUACUAUAUUGACAUUGAGUUUGAUCGAGCUGUGUAGACCCUUAGGAGCUUUUCAUGUGGUUAAAUUAAGAUAUUCACUUGCACACAUCCACUACACCAUUCACCACCAAUCAUUAAGAUUGCUAAAAAUAUUAUCACUCACUGUCCCAAGUGUUGUUAUUCUCUCUCUCCAAUAAGAUUCAAUGCAGAAGAGGCAUGGGUUAUGCAAAAAUAUAUGAGGAAAUAAAAGGGGGCAAGUGCCCGGAACCUCGAAAAAGAAAGAAAAGAGUGAGACGAGAGGUAAAAAUGGACAAGUGACCGAAGUAGAAUUAGGGGUACAAAGAUGCCCACUUGAGCCAAAAAAUGGACAAGUGUCCGAUAGUAGAAUUAGAGGUAUCUACUACCCACCUGAAAAAAAAAGAGAAAAAAGAAAAGAGAUAGCCCAUGUUCUCCCAAAGCAAAGAUCAAAGAAGAGGAGAGAUAGCAAUAUGAGGAGCAAUGAGAAGUAAGUUUUAUCAUCACUUAUACAUUUUUAUCAUCACUAUCAUUUACUCCACCACACAUGCACAUUUUCAUUUAAUUAUAUGUUGAGUUCCUUUGGAUCCAUGGCUCGAUUAGACAACAUAUGUAUGAGCUGUUUUUCACUCCUAUGAGCUCCACUUAAAUAUUCCAUUAGCUAUAGGUAAGUGACAUUUUGGUAAGGAUCCACAAAUGCCACAUAUAGAGAGACUUGAGAGAAUCAUUGCUGGGAACUCUGAGUUUUAUUUUUGAAAACUUAUGCAAAACCCCAGAACAAAGGUGAAGUAUAGACAGGAAGAAUAGUGCUUGACUUAAUUAUUUUGUCUUUUGAUUACUUAAGACUUAAGUGCAGGUACUAAGCUCCAUAACACUUCACUCUAAUCUGGAAGAAUUUUUAUGUAAAAGCAUGUGUGCC